rnacentral:rRNA from 1 species
CGGAGGGUGCAAGCGUUAAUCGGAAUUACUGGGGCGUAAAAGCGCACGCAGGCGAUUUGUUAAGUCAGAUGUGAAAUCCCCCGGGCUCAACCUGGGAACUGCAUUUGAAACUGGCAAGCUAGAGUCUCGUAGAGGGGGGUAGAAUUCCAGGUGUAGCGGUGAAAUGCGUAGAGAUCUGGAGGAAUACCGGUGGCGAAGGCGGCCCCCUGGACGAAGACUGACGCUCAGUGCGAAAAGCGUGGGGGAGACAAACAGGAUU